rnacentral:rRNA from 1 species
GCGCGAAAACUUUACAAUGCUGGCAACAGCGAUAAGGGAACCUCGAGUGCCAGGUUACAAAUCUGGCUGUCGAGAUGCCUAAAAAAGCAUUUCAUAGCAAGGGCCGGGCAAGACCGGUGCCAGCCGCCGCGGUAACACCGGCGGCUCGAGUGGUAACCGUUAUUAUUGGGUCUAAAGGGUCUGUAGCCGGCCGGAUAAGUCUCUUGAGAAAUCUGGCAGCUUAACUGUCAGGCUUUCAGGAGAUACUGUCUGGCUCGAGGCCGGGAGAGGUGAGAGGUACUUCGAGGGGUAGGGUGAAAUCGUUGUAGUCCUUGAAGGACCACCAGUGGCGAAGGCGUCUCACCAGAGCGGACCUGACGGCAAGGGACAAAGGCUAGGGGCACGAACCGGAUUAGAGACC